GGGAUAGUGGCGACGGGUGAGUACACGUGGGCAAUCUGCCCUUCACUCUGGGACAAGCCCUGGAAACGGGGUCUAAUACCGGAUAUGACACACGACCGCAUGGUCUGUGUGUGGAAAGCUCCGGCGGUGAAGGAUGAGCCCGCGGCCUAUCAGCUUGUUGGUGGGGUGAUGGCCUACCAAGGCGACGACGGGUAGCCGGCCUGAGAGGGCGACCGGCCACACUGGGACUGAGACACGGCCCAGACUCCUACGGGAGGCAGCAGUGGGGAAUAUUGCACAAUGGGCGAAAGCCUGAUGCAGCGACGCCGCGUGAGGGAUGACGGCCUUCGGGUUGUAAACCUCUUUCAGCAGGGAAGAAGCGAAAGUGACGGUACCUGCAGAAGAAGCGCCGGCUAACUACGUGCCAGCAGCCGCGGGUAAUACG
rnacentral:rRNA from 1 species